GUAUACCGACCUGACCCCACCCGAUCUAAAAGAAAAAGCUUAACCCCAGGCCGGAAACAAGUCGCCACGCCGUUCCCCGGCCGACCUCGCUUCGCCCCGACCACCGCAGGGCCAUGGAGCCGAACGCCGCCGUUGAGGCCGACGCCGAGGACGACUACAUGGGGGACCUGUCCCACUUCCUCCCGCCGAGCCCCUCCUCUCCCACCAGGAGCCUCGGGGUCCGGAAGCAACCCCCCAAGCCGGCUCCGCCGGCGCGAGGGCAGGCGAAGCGCGCCAAGGGGCUGCCGUGGAAGGAGCGCCGGCGGAAGGAACGCGAGAGGAUCCAGAGAGAGGAGGAUGCCCGCACGUUGGCCGGGAUGGCGGAGGCCAUCCCGGAGAGCAACGUUGGGUUCAAGAUGUUGAAGCAGAUGGGAUACGACCCGGCCGCCCGCGGCGCCGGCACCGAGCCGGUCGGAAUCGAGAUCCGCCGCUCUCGGGCCGGACUCGGGGCGGAGCCAGAUGCUUCUGUGGCGCUGCUGCCGCAGCUAUCGGAGCCCAAGACGCGGGAGGAGGAAGAGAGGGAUAGGAAGCGGGAGGAGGAGAUGGUGGCGGAGCUGAGGUCGAGGAAGAGCACGCAAUGGAAGGGACGGAGGUUGGUGUGGGACUACCGCAAGGCUGAGGCGGCGCUCGCGCAGCUGGAAAACAGGGAGGUGGAGCCACCGGCCCCCGAUGGGGAGGAGGAGGAGAAGGGAGAAGAUGAAGAGGAAGAGGUGAUCACUGAAGAGGGUUUACAAACCAUAUUGGAUAAGCUGCGUGUUCAACACCACUAUUGCCUUUACUGUGGAUGCAAGUUUGAAUCAGCAGGAGCACUGGCAAAUGAAUGCCCUGGGCCUAAUGAAGAUGAUCACUGAUCCACUCUGUCAAUGGUGACUAGGGCACUGUCCUUCCCGCUACAGAUUAUGGUAAAUGUGACAUUUGGGAUAUUCUUGAUUAGUUGACUGUGUACGGUUAACCUUAGUCCUUGACACAAUCACUGGUUCAUAGCCAACUGGAGAAACUGAGCUCCAGCAUUUUGAAGCUACAGAGAUGGAAUGGGAAGCUUCAGGAGUUCGCAUAUGGUGUGAACUGCUCCAUUUAGAGCUCAAGUUAUGUCCCUGACAUGUCCAAAACUCUGAAUGAAGUUACCGCGGCCAAAAGACAGUAGUGUUAAGCUGUGAAGAAACGAGUUGAAUUCAGCUAGCGGUAAUGUCAGCAGAAUUGCACUAAACGUUUGACGUUUCCCGUUCCUCCUUUCUAAUCGAGGGACUAUUCAUCAAUCAUCGGCCGAACAGUUGAAGUUAGAGUCGUGGGAAGGCUGCACUGUUCAUCUCUUUGUUCCAGCCAAUGCCGGAAUCUCUGCACAGUGCAAUUACAUUUGUGUCGAUCUUUCAUGUGGACAAGCGAUCCAUUUAUGAUCACUGUUUGUUGAUCACGGGCCAACAUGUGGCACAAGAUUUGUCAGUGUGAGCUCAAUUAUUAUGUCAUCAUGACGGCUGCAUCAGCCACCCUGCCCU